AGCGAACGUUAGCGGCGGGCCUAACACAUGCAAGUCGAACGAGAAUGUAGGCUUCGGUCUACUAGUAAAGUGGCGGACGGGUGCGUAACACGUGGGUAAUCUACCUUCCGGCGGGGGACAACAGCCCGAAAGGAUUGCUAAUACCGCGUACGUCAGCGGCGCCUACGGGCGCUGUUGGGAAAGAUGGCCUAUUCUUGGAAGCUGUCACCGGAAGAUGAGGCCGCGUCCCAUCAGCUAGUUGGUGAGGUAAUUGCUCACCAAGGCUAAGACGGGUAGCGGUGCUGCGAUGAUGAUCAGCCACACGGGGACUGCGACACGGCCCGUACGCCCACGGGAGGAAGCAGUGGGGAAUAUUGGGAAAUGGGCGAAAGCCUGACCCAGCCAGGCCGCGUGAGUGAUGAAGGCCUUCGGGUCGUAAAGCUCUGUGGGGAGGGACGAACAAAUCUGGGGCUAAUCACCCGGGUCCUGACGGUACCUCCUUAGCAAGCACCGGCUAACCCUGUGCCAGCAGCCGCCGUAAAAC
rnacentral:rRNA from 1 species